rnacentral:rRNA from 1 species
UACAGAGGUGCCAAGCGUUAUGCGGAAUCACUGGGCUUAAAGCGUGUGUAGGCGGGCGAUCAAGUCCCUUGUGAAAUCCCACGGCUCACCCGUGGAACUGCUGGGCAUACUGGCGAUCUUGGGCGAACUAGGGGCAACUGGAACAAGCGGUGGAGCGGUGAAAUGCGUAGAUAUCGCUUGGAACGCCAAAGGUGAAAACAGGUUGCUGGGAUUGUGCCGACGCUGAGACACGAAAGCCAGGGGAGCAAACGGG